CAGUAGCCGCGGUAAUACGAAGGGUGCAAGCGUUAAUCGGAAUUACUGGGCGUAAAGCGUGCGUAGGCGGUGAGUUAAGUCUGCUGUGGAAUCCCCGGGCUCAACCUGGGAAUGGCAGUGGAUACUGGCUCGCUAGAGUGUGUCAGAGGAUGGUGGAAUUCCCGGUGUAGCGGUGAAAUGCGUGGAGAUCAAGAGGAACACUCGUGGCGAAAGCGAGCUACUGGACAAUAACUGACGCUGAGGCUCGAAGGCCAGGGUAGCGAAAGGGAUUAGAUACCCCCGUAGUCCCUGUCUCUUAUAC
rnacentral:rRNA from 1 species